rnacentral:sRNA from 1 species
GCCGGGUGCAGUAGCACAUGCCUGUAGUCCCAGCUAUUCAGGAGGCUGAGUGGGAGGAUCGCUGAAGCCCAGGAGUUCUGGCUGUGUACUGUGCCAAGAGGGUGUUUGCACUAAGUUCCGCAUCAAUAUGGUGAUCUCCUGGGAGCAGGGAACCACCAGGUUGCCUCAGGAGGGGUGAACCAGCCCAGGCUGCAAAAUAGAAGGAUUGUGUCUCUAGGCCUCUGACCCCUUCGGAUUUUUAUGUCCUCACCCUACACAUAGUGAAAACCAU